GACAAUCACUUGGACAAAGAAGGAGCUGCACAUUCACGGAUUUUCUUGGGGCUUUUGGGACACCAAAAUCUGACCUUUUAGCACACAAGUAAGGAGUUGGUGAAGAGCACAAUCUCGAUCAAAGUUUGGAAUUCUAGACACUUCACUUGAGGUUCUGAAAUGCAUGAAGUCUUGGAGAACUAGAACAGAAAUGUUAUAUUUUGAAUGCCCACUUUUGUAAUUGUAUUUUUGGAAACGUUAGUAUCUUUUGGAUGAUUUUUGUGUUUUUGGGAAAAUGUGAAUCCUGUGGUGCUUCUGUGCCCUGGAUUAGGAACUUUAAAUUGUAAAUUAAGUUGAAUUUAAGUAUACUAAGCUCGACGUUUUCGUUGGUACUUGGAAUUGUGUUUUGGGCUGUAUAAGUUGAAUUGUAUGAAUUAUUUAAGUACGUGACUUGCUCGAGAAGUAAGGUUUAUUUUCGA